rnacentral:lncRNA from 1 species
UGGAAAGAAAGACAAAUCUUAAGCAUGUUAAGAUUUGGGGUUGUGUGCUAAUAAGCAAUAUUUGUUUUGAUAACAAUCUUGUGGGAUAUCCUUAAAUUAACUUUUGGAUAUCGCUUCUAUAAACCAACAAACAAAUGUUGUUUUGUUGGGUAGUUCAAUGUAAUCCUACAAUGAUUUGCCUAAGAGCUAAUGAACGAGAGAUAGAACUCAAAAGAUGGGUUCUUUGAGAGACAAGAAAGUAAUCAACAAAUAUAACAACCUAGUUCCUAUACCAAAGGCUCCAAGGUA